GUGUUCGUUAUUAAGGGCGCAUGGUGGAUGCCUUGGCAUGCUGAGCCGAUGAAGGACGUGAAAGGCUGCGUUAAGCCUCGGGGAGUUGUCAAUUAAGCGUUGAUCCGAGGAUGUCCGAAUGGGGAAACCUGGCCCUGGUUAUGUGGGGUUACCCUUCAGUGAAUUCAUAGCUGUUGUGGGGGUUUACGCGGGGAAGUGAAACAUCUCAGUACCCGUAGGAGAAGAAAAUAAUAAUGAUUCUGCUAGUAGUGGCGAACGAACGUGGAUGAGGCUAAACCGUGUGCAUGUGAUACCUGGUAGGGGUUGUGUGUGCGGUGUUGUGGGCCCUGAUGUGCGGUGACUACCAUCAUCGUGCUUGCGCAUUGUUGUUAGGUGAAGUGGUUUGGAAUGGCCUGCCGGAGUAGGUGAGAGUCCUGUAGCUGAAGAUGAUGAUGUGUGGGUUGUUGGGUUGCCCGAGUAGCAGCGGGCUCGUGGAAUCUGCUGUGAAUCUGCCGGGACCACCCGGUAAGCCUAAAUACUCAGUGUGACCGAUAGUGUAUGAGUACCGUGAGGGAAUGGUGAAAAGUACCCCGGGAGGGGAGUGAAAUAGUUCCUGAAACCAUGUGCU
rnacentral:rRNA from 1 species